rnacentral:rRNA from 1 species
UCCGUAGGCGGGUAAUUAAGUCAGAGGUGAAAUCCCACAGCUUAACUGUGGAACUGCCUUAGAUACUGGUUAUCUUGAGUUUUAGUGAAGUAGAUAGAAUGUGUAGUGUAGCGGUGAAAUGCAUAGAUAUUACACAGAAUACCGAUUGCGAAGGCAGUCUACUAACUAACAACUGACGCUCAGGAACGAAAGCGUGGGGAGCGAACAGGAUUAGAUACCCUGGUAGUCC